rnacentral:rRNA from 1 species
GCGUGCGCGUUGCCUAAACAUGCAGUCGAACGAGGGUCUCUUGUAUUCGUACGAGGGAUUCCUAGUGGCGAACGGGUGAGUAACACGUUGGUGACCUGCCCCGAAGUGGGGGAUAACUCCGGGAAACUGGAGCUAAUACCCCAUGGGCUCUGGGGAGUUAGAGUGCCCUGGAGCAAAGGAGUGAUCCGCUUUGGGAGGGGCCUGCGGCCCAUCAGCUAGUUGGUAGGGUAAUGGCCUACCAAGGCGAUGACGGGUAGGGGACCUGAGAGGGUGGCCCCCCACACUGGCACUGAAACACGGGCCAGACACCUACGGGUGGCAGCAGUGGGGAAUAUUGCACAAUGGGCGAAAGCCUGAUGCAGCAAUGCCGCGUGCGCGAUGAAGGCCUUCGGGUUGUAAAGCGCUUUUCUGGGGGACGAGGAAGGACGGUACCCCAGGAAUAAGUCUCGGCUAACUACGUGCCAGCAGCCGCGGUAAAACGUAGGAGGCAAGCGUUAUCCGGAUUUACUGGGCGUAAAGCGCGUGUAGGCGGCUUGGUAAGUCGGACGUUAAAGCUCCUGGCUCAACUGGGAGAGGCCGUUCGAUACUACUGGGCUUGAGGGCAAUAGAGGGAGGUGGAAUUCCGGGUGUAGCGGUGAAAUGCGUAGAUAUCCGGAGGAACACCAGUGGCGAAGGCGACCUCCUGGAUUGUCCCUGACGCUAAGACGCGAAAGCUAGGGGAGCGAACGGGAUUAGACACCCCGGUAGUCCUAGCUGUAAACGAUGCAGACUUGGUGUUGGUGGUGUAAUAGCCAUCAGUGCCGAAGCUAACGCGUUAAGUCUGCCGCCUGGGACUACGACCGCUAGGUUA